rnacentral:rRNA from 1 species
UGGGUAGUCCGCACGAGCGCACCUUACUUUUAGUUGCUACCAUUCAGUUGGGCACUCUAAAAGAACUGCCAGUGAUAAGCUGGAGGAAGGUGGGGAUGACGUCAAGUCCUCAUGGCCCUUAUGUGUUGGGCUACACACGUGCUACAAUGGUAUUUACAGUGGGAUGCAAAGAGGCAACUCCAAGCUAACCCUCAAAAAUACCUCAGUUCGGAUUGUACUCUGCAACUCGAGUACAUGAAGCUGGAAUUACUAGUAAUCGCGGAUCAGCGCGCUGCGGUGAAUACGUUCCCGGGUCUUGUACACACCGCCCGUCACACCAUGGAAGUUGGUUACACCUUAAGGCAAAGUGUAAAAUCUUUGACUACGGUACGAUCAGCGACUGGGGUGAAGUCGUAACAAGGUAGCCGUAGGGGAACCUGCGGCUGGAUCACCUCCUUUCU